rnacentral:rRNA from 1 species
UGGGGAAUUUUGGACAAUGGGCGAAAGCCUGAUCCAGCAAUGCCGCGUGUGUGAAGAAGGCCUUCGGGUUGUAAAGCACUUUUGUCCGGAAAGAAAUCCUUGGCUCUAAUACAGUCGGGGGAUGACGGUACCGGAAGAAUAAGCACCGGCUAACUACGUGCCAGCAGCCGCGGUAAUACGUAGGGUGCAAGCGUUAAUCGGAAUUACUGGGCGUAAAGCGUGCGCAGGCGGUUUGCUAAGACCGAUGUGAAAUCCCCGGGCUCAACCUGGGAACUGCAUUGGGUGACUGGCAGGCUAGAGUAUGGCAGAGGGGGGUAGAAUUCCACGUGUAGCAGUGAAAUGCGUAGAGAUGUGGAGGAAUACCGAUGGCGAAGGCAGCCCCCUGGGCAAUACUGACGCUCAUGCACGAAAGCGUGGGGAGCAAACAGGAUUAGAUACCCUGGUAGUCCACGCCCUAAACGAUGUCAACUAGUUGUUGGGGGAUUCAUUUUCCUUAGUAACGUAGCUAACGCGUGAAGUUGACCGCCUGGGGAGUAC